rnacentral:rRNA from 1 species
CAAGAUGACGUUUCCCAUCUUGUGAAGAGAUGAAGAUCCCAGGGAGACGACCUGGUAGAUAGACCGCAGGUGGACGCCUGGUAACAGGUGUAGCCAAGCGGCCCUAAUGAUCGAACGGCUUG